rnacentral:rRNA from 1 species
UACGUAGGGUGCAAGCGUUAUCCGGAAUUAUUGGGCGUAAAGAGCUCGUAGGCGGUUUGUCGCGUCUGCUGUGAAAACCGGAGGCUCAACCUCCGGCCUGCAGUGGGUACGGGCAAACUAGAGUGCGGUAGGGGAGACUGGAAUUCCUGGUGUAGCGGUGAAAUGCGCAGAUAUCAGGAGGAACACCGGUGGCGAAGGCGGGUCUCUGGGCCGAAAUUGACGCUGAGGAGCGAAAGCGUGGGGAGCAAACAGG